AAUCCUGUAGACAAGAUACCGACACGUAAAUAUGCACCAGAUGCAUAUAUCCUAUUCAGUUAAAGAGAUUUGAUUAGUAUUUCGUGUUAGAUAUACAUAUUGGUAAUGUUAAUUAUGAAAAAGAUAAAUUCUAUUGGAGAAGAUGCAAUUUUCAUUCGCAAUUCGUGGAUGGCUAUUAUGUUUGACUGUAAAAUGGAAAAUUCCGUUCAAUGCGUAUAAUAUAAAUUCGAUUUGUAGCGAGUUUAAUAAUAAUAUUACUAGUGAAACAUUUGUUAUGAUAAAAUCCUGCUCUAUAACGAAUUGACAGCCUAUACUCUCUUUUCGAACUUUCUAACGCAAUACAUAUGCGAACAAGACUCUGCUGCAAACAUAUGCGACUACAUGCAUACGCAUAGAAUGCUAAUACCUGAGAGAAACGACUGGCGAUAUUGAAAAGAUGGUCACGGAAUAAAUUAACUCUUAGGUGGUGGCUUAGAAUCAUUGUGACUUCAUUGCGUCUUGUUGACUACCAGUUUAAAUCGUGAAGAAAGUUGCUAGUAAUAACUGCGAUGGACAAAAGUUAAGAUUAACACAGGUUAGUUUUUCUCGUAAAAUGCUUUCGUUCAUCGCUGUAUAUGGAUUUUCAAUGGAAGUUAAGUUUGAUAUAUGAUUAUCACUUAUAAUAUCAAAAAUUAAUAAUUCAAUAAUGAGAA